ACCAAGAAAUGGUCUCCACCAGAAAUCCAAGAAUGUGAUCUAUGGCAAGGAAACAUAUGUGGGGUGAGGUGUAUGAGCGUCUGGUCGAUGAUCAAUGGACACACAACCCCCAUUUUUGUCGAAAAUAGCCAUGAACGACCAUUUUCAAUAAUACCGAAGGCUAACACCUACGGAUUUUUGACCAAGAAAUGGUCUCCACCAAUAAUCCAAGAAUGUGAUUUAUGGCAAAGAAACAUAUGUGGGGUGAGGUGUAUGAGCCUCUUGUCGACGAUCAAUGGCCACACAACCCUAAUUUUUGUCGAAAAUAGCCAUGAACGACCAUUUUCAAUGACACUGAAGGCUAACACCUACGGAUUUUUGACCAAGAAAUGGUCUCCACCAUAAAUCCAAGAAUGUGAUCUAUGGCAAGGAAACAUAUGUGUAGUGAGGUGUAUGAGCCUCUGGUCGAAGAUCAAUGGCCACACAACCCCCAUUUUUGUCGAAAAUAGCCAUGAAUGACCAUUUUCAAAAAUACCAAAGGCUAACACGUACGGAUUUUUGACCAAGAAAUGGUCUCCACCAGAAAUCCAAGAAUGUGAUCUAUGUCAAGGAAACAUAUGUGGGGUGAGGUGUACGAGCCUCUGGUCGAUGAUCAAUGGCCACACAACCCCCAUUUUGCCGAAAAUAGCCAUGAACGACCAUUUUCAAUAAUACCGAAGGCUAACACGUACGAGUUUUUAACCAAGAAAUGGUCUCCACCAGAAAUCCAAGAAUGUGAUCUAUGGCAAUGAAACAUAUGUGGGGUGAGGUUUAUGAGCCUCUAGUCGAUGAUAAAUGGCCACACAACCCCCAUUUUUUAUGAAAAUAGCCAUGAGCGACCUUCAAAAUAGCCAUGAGCGACCAUUUUCAAUAAUACUAGAGGCUAACACCUACGGAUUUUAGACCAAGAAAUGGUCUCCACCAGAAAUCCAAGAAUGUGAUCUAUGGCAAGGAAACAUAUGUGGGGUGAGGUGUAUGAGCGUCUGGUCGAUGAUCAAUGGCCACACAACCCCCAUUUUUGUCGAAAAUAGCCAUGAACGACCAUUUUCAAUAAUACCUAGGCUAACACCUACGGAUUUUUGACCAAGAAAUGGUCUCCACCAGAAAUCCAAGAAUGUGAUCUAUGGCAAGGAAACAUAUGUGGGGUGAGGUGUAUGAGCCUCUGGUCGACGAUCAAUGGCCACACAACCCUAAUUUUUGUCGAAAAUAGCCAUGAACGACCAUUUUCAAUGACACUGAAGGCUAACACCUACGGAUUUUUGACCAAGAAAUGGUCUCCACCAUAAAUCCAAGAAUGUGAUCUAUGGCAAGGAAACAUAUGUGUAGUGAGGUGUAUGAGCCUCUGGUCGAA
rnacentral:lncRNA from 1 species